UCUCCGUUGGUGAACCAGCGGAGGGAUCAUUACUGGAAUCGCAAGAUCCCACAACCCCUGUGAACCUACCGAAACGUUGCCUCGGCGGGCGCCCGGCCCUGCGCCGGGCGCUGAGCCCGCCGGCGGCCCCCUACUCUUGUCUCUGCAGCGUGUUAUCUCAGAGUCCCAGAAAACAAGUAAAAACUUUCAACAACGGAUCUCUUGGCUCUA
rnacentral:misc_RNA from 1 species